GGCCUCGUAGCUCGGUUGGCCAGAGCGUUGGCUGAACUAGAGCCUUUUCCUUGGUGGUGUGGGUUCGAAUCCCACCGAGGCCA
rnacentral:tRNA from 1 species